rnacentral:rRNA from 2 species
AAUCCAUAGGUUAAUGAGGCGAACCGGGGGAACUGAAACAUCUAAGUACCCCGAGGAAAAGAAAUCAACCGAGAUUCCCCCAGUAGCGGCGAGCGAACGGGGAGGAGCCCAGAGCCUGAAUCAGCAUGUGUGUUAGUGGAAGCGUCUGGAAAGGCGCGCGAUACAGGGUGACAGCCCCGUACACAAAAGCGCAUGUGCUGUGAGCUCGAUGAGUAGGGCGGGACACGUGGUAUCCUGUCUGAAUAUGGGGGGACCAUCCUCCAAGGCUAAAUACUCCUGACUGACCGAUAGUGAACCAGUACCGUGAGGGAAAGGCGAAAAGAACCCCGGCGAGGGGAGUGAAAAAGAACCUGAAACCGUGUACGUACAAGCAGUGGGAGCACCCUUUGGGGUGUGACUGCGUACCUUUUGUAUAAUGGGU